ACUCUUCUAGUAUAACACAAUACAACUGACUUCCACUCAGACAAUCUUAUUUAAGGAAGGGUA
rnacentral:tRNA from 1 species